GCCUGGCUGGCUCAGUCGUAGAGCAUGAGACUUUUGAUCUCAGGGCCCUAAGUUCAAGCCCCACUUUGGGCA
rnacentral:tRNA from 1 species